rnacentral:rRNA from 1 species
AAUUUUAAUAUUCUCGAUUUUAAAAGAGCUAAAAAAUUAUAUAUUUUAUUGUAAAAUAAAUAUUUAAAAUAAUUUUUUUGUAAUGAAACGUUAUUCGUUUUUAAAUAUAUCUAGUUUCUUAAGAAAAAAAUUUAAUUUUAUAAUUAUAAAUUAAAAUUUUACUUUGUUAAUUUUUUAAUUAUUAAUUGUUAAUAUUUUAAGGGAUAAGCUUUAAAAUAAAAUAUUAAAAAUUAAUGUUUAUUAUAGAAAAGUUGUAGGAUUAGAAAUUUUCAUCAAAUUUAGUUUGUUAUAAUUAAUUUUUUAUAAGAUAAUAUUUAUAUAUAUAUUUUAAUUUUUUUAUUAAGAUUAUUAAUUUAAUUUAAAAUUUAAUGUAAUAAUGAUAAGAUUAGUAUAAUUUUUUGUAAGAUUAAGUUAUUUUAUAAAGGUUAAAUUAAGGAAUUCGGCAAUUAAUUUUCUCGCCUGUUUAUUAAAAACAUGUCUUUUUGAAUAUAAUUUAAAGUCUAACCUGCCCAAUGAAUUAUUUGAAUGGCCGCGGUAUUUUGACCGUGCUAAGGUAGCAUAAUAAUUAGUUUUUUAAUUGAAAACUGGUAUGAAUGGUUGAACGAGGAAAAAACUGUCUCAAUUUAAAUUUUAUUAGAAUUUUAUUUUUAAGUAAAAAAGCUUAAAUAUAUUUAAAAGACGAGAAGACCCUAUAGAGUUUUAUAUUUUGUUUAAAGUUAAAUUAUUAUAUUUUUUUUUUAAUUUUAUUUAAAAUAUUUUAUUGGGGUGAUAAAAAAAUUAAUUAAACUUUUUUUAUAUAAUAUCAUUAAUUUAUGAGUAAGUGAUCCAUUAUUUAUGAUUAUAAGAUUAAAUUACCUUAGGGAUAACAGCGUAAUUUUUUUAGAGAGUUCAUAUCGAAAAAAGAGAUUGCGACCUCGAUGUUGGAUUAAAAUUAACUUUUGGUGUAGGAGCUAAAACGUUUGGUCUGUUCGACCAUUAAAA